rnacentral:rRNA from 1 species
AUUGAACGCUGGCGGCAUGCCUUACACAUGCAAGUCGAACGGUAACGCGGGGCAACCUGGCGACGAGUGGCGAACGGGUGAGUAAUGCAUCGGAACGUACCCAGUUGUGGGGGAUAGCUCGGCGAAAGCCGGAUUAAUACCGCAUACGACCUACGGGUGAAAGCGGGGGAUCGCAAGACCUCGCGCAGUUGGAGCGGCCGAUGUCAGAUUAGGUUGUUGGUGGGGUAAAGGCUCACCAAGCCGACGAUCUGUAGCUGGUCUGAGAGGACGACCAGCCACACUGGGACUGAGACACGGCCCAGAGUCCUACGGGAGGCAGCAGUGGGGAAUUUUGGACAAUGGGGGCAACCCUGAUCCAGCCAUGCCGCGUGCGGGAAGAAGGCCUUCGGGUUGUAAACCGCUUUUGUCGGGGAAGAAAUAUCCUGGGCUAAUACCCCGGGAGGAUGACGGUACCCGAAGAAUAAGCACCGGCUAACUACGUGCCAGCAGCCGCCGUAAAAC